rnacentral:rRNA from 1 species
UACGUAGGUGGCAAGCGUUAUCCGGAUUUACUGGGCGUAAAGGGCGCGCAGGCUGUAGAUCAAGUCAGCUGUGAAAUGUCUGGGCUUAACCCGGGCAUGCGGUUGAAACUGAUGUACUGGAGUGCUGUAGAGGCAAGUGGAAUUCCCAGUGUAGCGGUGAAAUGCGUAGAUAUUGGGAAGAACACCGGUGGCGAAGGCGACUUGCUGGGCAGCAACUGACGCUGAGGCGCGAAAGCCAGGGGAGCAAACGGGAUUAGA